GAUCAUUAAAGAGUGGGGCCUCGCGCUCCAGGGGACUCCGGUCCCCGCCUCUACACCCUGUGAUUACCUCACCUAUCGUUGUUUUGGCGGGAAGCCGGCCUCCGGGCUGGUGCGGUCCACCCGACCGCCCCGCCAGCAGCCCAAUCAAACUCGUUUUAUCCAUGCCCGUCUGUACCAAUUUUAUAAUGAAUCAAAACUUUCAACAACGGAUCUCUUGGUUCUGGCAUCGAUGAAGAACGCAGCGAAAUGCGAUAAGUAAUGUGAAUUGCAGAAUUCAGUGAAUCAUCGAAUCUUUGAACGCACAUUGCGCCCCUCGGUAUUCCGGGGGGCAUGCCUGUUCGAGCGUCAUUGCACCACUCAAGCGUAGCUUGGUAUUGGGUCCUUCGCCCGGGGUCUCCCGCGGCGGGCCCGAAAAGCAUUGGCGGUCCGGCGUGACUUUAAGCGUAGUAAAUCUUCUCCCGCUUUGAAAGCCUCGCGCCGGCCCGGCCAGACAACCCCCCAAUCUUUCACGAUUGACCUCGGAUCAGGUAGGGAUACCCGCUGAACUUAAGCAUAUCAAU
rnacentral:rRNA from 1 species